rnacentral:rRNA from 1 species
UACGUAGGGGGCAAGCGUUGUCCGGAAUUAUUGGGCGUAAAGAGCGUGUAGGCGGUCCGGUAAGUCAGCUGUGAAAGUCAAGGGCUCAACCCUUGAAAGCCGGUUGAUACUGUCGGGCUAGAGUCCGGAAGGGGCGAGUGGAAUUCCCGGUGUAGCGGUGAAAUGCGCAGAUAUCAGGAAGAACACCAACGGCGAAGGCAGCUCGCUGGGACGGUACUGACGCUGAGACGCGAAAGCGUGGGGAGCGAACAGG